ACGAACGCUAGCGGCGUGCCUAAGGUAUGCAAGUCGAACGGGGGGAGCAAUCCCCUAGUGGCGAACGGUCGAGUAACACGUAGACAACCUGCCUCCAGGUGGGGGAUAACACCUCGAAAGGGGUGCUAAUACCGCAUGUGGUGGGGCCCGGCAUCGGGCUUUGACUAAAGGGGCAACUUGCCUGGAGAUGGGUCUGCGGCCUAUCAGCUUGUUGGUGAGGUAACGGCUCACCAAGGCGACGACGGGUAGCUGGUCUGAGAGGAUGAUCAGCCGGACGGGGACUGAGACACGGCCCCGACUCCUUCGGGAGGCAGCAAUGAGGAAUAUUGCGCAAUGGGGGAAACCCUGACGCAGCGACGCCGCGUGGGUGAGGAAGUUCUUCGGAAUGUAAAGCCCUUUUUUCGGGGACGAGAACGGACGGUACCCGAAGAAUAAGCCCCGGCUAACUACGU
rnacentral:rRNA from 1 species